UACGUAGGUGGCGAGCGUUGUCCGGAUUUACUGGGCGUAAAGAGCGCGCAGGCGGUCGUACAAGUCGCGUGUGAAAGCCCCUGGCUCAACUGGGGAGGGUCACGCGAUACUGUUCGACUUGAAGGCAGGAGAGGGAAGUGGAAUUCCUGGUGUAGUGGUGAAAUGCGUAGAUAUCGGGAGGAACACCAGUGGCGAAGGCGACUUCCUGGCCUGUUCUUGACGCUGAGGCGCGAAAGCUAGGGUAGCAAACGGG
rnacentral:rRNA from 1 species